GCUGCUGUUUGAACUGACUCCUGAUUCCAAGAAGUGCAGUGCUGAGCUAAAGAAAAAGAUGAUCUGGAAAUUGAUGGAACCCCUUCACUUCCAUUUUAUGAAUCACCAAGGACCAUGGAUUCAGUCACCUACAUUUUAAAUGGCCUGAGGACCUCUGACAUGACACGAAGUGUGUUGCCAUGAGAGGGAUUCUUGUAAUACCUGAUCACCCUCCUUUGAAGAACUUCAUUAAGUUCUUCAAAGCAUGCUUUGCUUCUGAUGAUGAGGAGUCACACCAAAACAUUCCAGUUGGAAUCCGCGAAAGCAAAGAU